GACGAACGCUGGCGGCGUGCCUAACACAUGCAAGUCGAGCGGAGUCGAUCGACGGAAGCCUUCGGGCGGAAGAUGGUUGACUUAGCGGCGGAUGGGUGAGUAACGCGUGGGCAACCUGCCUCGAAGACCGGGAUAACAGCCCGAAAGGGCUGCUAAUACCGGAUGUGGUCAAAGAUCCGCAUGGAUUUUUGAUUAAAGGGGGAAACCCGUUUCGAGAUGGGCCCGCGUCCUAUCAGCUAGUUGGUGAGGUAAAAGCUCACCAAGGCGACGAUCAGUAGCCGGCCUGAGAGGGUGGACGGCCACACUGGAACUGAGACACGGUCCAGACUCCUACGGGAGGCAGCAGUGGGGAAUAUUGCACAAUGGGGGAAACCCUGAUGCAGCGACGCCGCGUGAGCGAAGAAGGCCUUCGGGUCGUAAAGCUCUGUCCUAAGGGAAGAAAAGGAACGGUAACCUUAGGAGGAAGCCCGGCUAACUACGUGCCAGCAGCCGCGGUAAAGAAGUAGUACAA
rnacentral:rRNA from 1 species